rnacentral:rRNA from 1 species
GACGAGGGAUCCUAGCGUUGUUCGGAAUUAUUGGGCGUAAAGCGGGUGUAGGCGGAUUUGUAAGUCAGGUGUGAAAUCCCAGGGCUCAACCCUGGAAGUGCACUUGAUACUGCUAAUCUUGAGUGUGGUAGAGGUUACUGGAAUUCCUGGUGUAGUGGUAAAAUACGUAGAUAUCAGGAGGAAUACCGGAGGCGAAGGCGAGUAACUGGGCCAACACUGACGCUGAGACCCGAAAGCGUGGGGAUCAAACAGGAUUAGAUACCCCUGUAGU